rnacentral:rRNA from 1 species
UGGGGAAUAUUGGACAAUGGGCGCAAGCCUGAUCCAGCCAUGCCGCGUGAGUGAUGACGGCCUUAGGGUUGUAAAGCUCUUUCACCCACGACGAUAAUGACGGUAGUGGGAGAAGAAGCCCCGGCUAACUUCGUGCCAGCAGCCGCGGUAAUACGAAGGGGGCUAGCGUUGUUCGGAUUUACUGGGCGUAAAGCGCACGCAGGCGGAUUUUUAAGUCAGAGGUAAAAUCCCGGGGCUCAACCCCGGAACGACCUUUGAUACUGAGGAUCUUGAGUCCGGAAGAGGUGAGUGGAAUUGCGAGUGUAGAGGUGAAAUUCGUAGAUAUUCGCAAGAACACCGGUGGCGAAGGCGGCUCACUGGUCCGGUACUGACGCUCAUGUGCGAAAGCGUGGGGAGCAAACAGG